rnacentral:ncRNA from 2 species
AUUUUCCUUCGGGGCAGGGUGAGGCAAACGCCAAUUCCCGAUCGGUGGUGACGCAGAAUUAAAUCCGCGCUUUGGCGGAUCCGCGAAGUCCACGAGCCUUUGGGCAUGAACUGGUGUGAAUCCAGUACCGACGGUAUAGUCCGGAUGAAAGAAGGAGAGU